UGGGAAUUUUGGACAAUGGGGGAAACCCUGAUCCAGCCAUCCCGCGUGUGCGAUGAAGGCCUUCGGGUUGUAAAGCACUUUUUGGCAGGAAAGAAACGUCGCGGGUUAAUACCCCGCGGAACUGACGGUACCUGCAGAAUAAGCACCGGCUAACUACGUGCCAGCAGCCGCGGUAAUACGUAGGGUGCAAGCGUUAAUCGGAAUUACUGGGCGUAAAGCGUGCGCAGGCGGUUCGGAAAGAAAGAUGUGAAAUCCCAGAGCUUAACUUUGGAACUGCAUUUUUAACUACCGGGCUAGAGUGUGUCAGAGGGAGGUGGAAUUCCGCGUGUAGCAGUGAAAUGCGUAGAUAUGCGGAGGAAUACCGAUGGCGAAGGCAGCCUCCUGGGAUAACACUGACGCUCAUGCACGAAAGGCGUGGGGAGCAAACAGGAUUAGAUACCCUGGUAGUCCACGCCCUAAACGAUGUCAACUAGCUGUUGGGGUCUUCGGGACCUUGGUAGCGCAGCUAACGCGUGAAGUUGACCGCCUGGGGGAGUACGGUCGCAAAGAUUAAAACUCAAAUGAAUUGACGGGGUCAUAGCUGUUUCCU
rnacentral:rRNA from 1 species